GACCCAUCUAACAAGCUCUUACAAAGGUCUUCAUGGUAAUGACGGGCUCUCGGAGCCCACAGAGUUUGAGUACCUGAGGAAGGUUCUGUUUGAGUACAUGAUGGGGCGAGAAACCAAGACCAUGGCCAAGGUGAUCACCACCAUGCUGAAGUUUUCUCCAGACCAGGCCCAGAAGCUGCUGGAGAACGAGGACUCCAAGACCGCUCCUUGGCUACGGUUAGGGGUGGAGGGAUUCAGUUAAGGAGGGAAUGAUGCUGCUACAGGGCCAGACUGCCAUGGACUUGAUUAAACCCCUCUCCUGUGUGUGCAUGUGUUGUGUGUGCGUGCGCACGUGCGUGUGUGUACGCACAUGAUUAUUAACAUGUACACUACCGUUCAAAAGUUUUUGGUCACCCAGACAAUUCAGACAGUUUUCCAUGAAAACUCACACUUUUAUUUAUCAAAUAUGUUGCAAAAUGAAUAGAAAAUAUAGUCAAGACAUUUACAAGGUUAGAAAUAAUUAUUUUUAUUUGAAAUAUUAAUUUUUUUCUUCAAACUUUGCUUUCGUCAAAGAAUGCUCCAUUUGCAACAAUUACAGCAUUGGAGACCUUUGGCAUUCUAAUUCUAAUUCUUCUAAUCAUCCAUUAGUCUUCUAAGGUAAUUAGCAAACACAAUGUACCAUUUGAACAUUGUAGUGAGAGUUGCUUGAAAUGGGCCUCCAUACACCUAUGUAGAUAUUUCAUUAAAAAACAGACGUUUCCACCUAGAAUAGUCAUUUACCACAUUAACAAUGUAUAGUGUUUUUCUGAUUAAUUUAAUGUUAUCUUCAUUGAAAAAAAGUGUUUUUCCUUGAAAAAUAAGGACAUUUCUAAGUGACCCCAAACUUUUGAACGGUAGUGUGUGUGUGUGGUUGUUAGGGUAUGAGUGUGUGUGUAGUUGUAAGGGUGUGUGUGUGUGGUUGUUAGGGUAUGAGUGUGUGUGUGGUCGUUAGGGUGUGUGAGUGUGUGUGUGGUCGUUAGGGUAUGAGUGUGUGUGUGGUUGUUAGGGUGUGUGUGUGUGGUCGUUAGGGUAUGAGUGUGUGUGUGGUUGAAGGUUGUGAGGGAGCUUGAUAAAAUAUGCAGAGAUCAGAUAAAUUCUUCCAUGAUUUAAGUUAUUUUAAACAUAAAAUUGUUUAAUUUCUAAAUUAUGUUUUUAGUCCAAGGUUAGUCCAACGGUUUUCAUUUAAUUUACGUUUGGAUAGUUCUGUAGUUAAUGGAUGGCUUGUGCAAUAAAAUUAAAGAUGUUGAUUAUGAUGUUUGAAUUGAUCAGGUUAUUUUCAGCUUUCUCUGUGACUUCCUGUCUCACUUCCUGUGUUCUGUGACAGUUGAGGUCACAUUACCCCAUUAGCCCUGACAAUGUAGAAACACUAGCUUCCAGAAUUUAUCACUGCUUUUCUACUUUAUAUUCACAGUACUGACAAAACAGAUGCCAUGUAAAUUGUAUAUAAUGAAGUGGGAUCUGACCGAAGCUGACUGUUGCUUUAGUACAACAUUUUGAGAGACACUAAUUAAAGUCCUAUUUGCAAUA